CUGUCCUCCCGUCGCGCGCUUAUUUGAAUAAUUCUGUAUCUGAAGGCUGUACAUCUGAAUGUCUUGGCUGAUUAUCUUCAUAUCUGUCACGCUUUCAACUUCACAUCGAACAUCUACACAGCGCUAACAGUAUGUCAACAUCAGAUGGACAGGGAGUCCGGCAACCUGAGCGACACUGCAGCAAUGUGCAAUAUUAUGCGGAAUAUGGAUGUGUUUCUCGGGUAUGCCUGCUUCUUCCCCAAAAUGGGCGAGACCUUGAGGCAGCUGGAGGCUCUGUCAGAAAAAGUGUGUUGUGGGAUUUGGUGCACAUAAGCAUUGUACCCAUAAGGACAGGGAAAGGAGGCGCUAGGUGCAGUGGGUUAGGGAGCAGCUGUUGAAGGCGGAGACCAAAAUGGAUAUGCUGAAGAAUACGUCCAGAGGGGGGAUGCACAGCAGACACUGCUCAGCUCAGUGCCCUCCAUGGUGCCUCUUGCCAUCCCACUGAAUCCACCAGGCUCCUCUAAGGACAUGCCCACCACAGCUCCUGCUAUUCAGAGGCUCUGAUGGAGCAUCGGGGUACAACCACCUGGUCAGGCUGGCGAGAGACCAGGUGGGGCUGCACCACGAGCCCUAUGUUUCAGACAGUCACGUCGCCAGCAUCGUCUCACUGUGGAACAACCUGCUGGAGAGAGACAGCUGGCAAGAAGAUGACUGGGGUGCGGCUGAACCGCUAGGACUACAGCAGGAUCAGACAGCUGGGGCUCAUGCAGGCCACAAACUGUCUGUUUGCCCCAGCCUGACAACAAACAGCCAGGCGCACCGAGUGGAGGAGGAGCGAGGCAGCUGACACAGGGUUCCCCAUCCCAGCCUGCAGGAGCCAUCAUCACUACAUGUGCAAGCAGUGUGGGCAGCCACAGAAGCAGGUGUUUGGAGAGAGGAGGUUAAAAAAAAAUAUUCCUCUGUGAAAAGGCGGAAGGGAAGAUAUUUGAAGAGUGGAAGGUUCAGCAGGAGGAGCCACAUUAAUUUAAUGCUUUU